rnacentral:rRNA from 1 species
UACGGAGGAGGCAAGCGUUGUUCGGAAUUACUGGGCGUAAAGGGCUCGUAGGCGGCCAACUAAGUCGGAUGUGAAAUCCCCAGGCUUAACCUGGGAACUGCAUCCGAUACUGGAUGGCUUGAAUCCGGGAGAGGGAUGCAGAAUUCCAGGUGUAGCGGUGAAAUGCGUAGAGAUGUGGAGGAACACCAGCGGCGAAGGCGGCUUUCUGGUCUGUAACUGACGCUGAGGCGCGAAAGCGUGGGGAGCAAACAGG